AUUGAACGCUGGCGGCAUGCCUUACACAUGCAAGUCGAACGGCAGCGCGGACUUCGGUCUGGCGGCGAGUGGCGAACGGGUGAGUAAUACAUCGGAACGUACCCUGUUGUGGGGGAUAACUAGUCGAAAGAUUAGCUAAUACCGCAUACGACCUGAGGGUGAAAGUGGGGGACCGCAAGGCCUCAUGCUAUAGGAGCGGCCGAUGUCUGAUUAGCUAGUUGGUGGGGUAAAGGCCUACCAAGGCGACGAUCAGUAGCUGGUCUGAGAGGACGAUCAGCCACACUGGGACUGAGACACGGCCCAGACUCCUACGGGAGGCAGCAGUGGGGAAUUUUGGACAAUGGGCGAAAGCCUGAUCCAGCAAUGCCGCGUGUGUGAAGAAGGCCUUCGGGUUGUAAAGCACUUUUGUCCGGAAAGAAAUGGCUCUGGUUAAUACCUGGGGUCGAUGACGGUACCGGAAGAAUAAGGACCGGCUAACUACGUGCCAGCCGCCGCGGUAA
rnacentral:rRNA from 1 species